rnacentral:rRNA from 1 species
CAUUGGUCUUGACUUCCAGAUGGUAUCUGGGAAUUCCCAGUGUAGAGCUGAAAUUCGUAGAUAUUGGGAAGAACACCGGUGCCGAAGGUGGCCGCUCUGGAUGGGAUACUUGACGCUGAGGCGCGAAAGCCUGGGGGAGCAAACAGGAUUAGAUACCCUGGUAGUCCACGCUGUAAACGAUGUGCACUAGGUGUCGGGGGUAUUGACCCCCCCGGUGCCGCCGCUAACGCAUUAAGUGCACCGCCUGGGAAGUACGGCCGCAAGGCUGAAACUCAAAGGAAUUGACGGGGGCCCGCACAAGCGGUGGAGUAUGUGGUUCAAUUCGACGCAACGCGCAGAACCUUACCUGGGCUUGACAUCUGGGGAAGUCCCUAGAGAUAGGGAUGUGCCCUUCGGGGAACCCCAUGACAGGUGCUGCAUGGCUGCCGUCAGCUCGUGUCGUGAGAUGUUGGGUUAAGUCCCGCAACGAGCGCAACCCCUGUUCUUAGUUGCCAUCGGUUCGGCCGGGCACUCUAAGGAGACUGCCGGUGUUAAACCGGAGGAAGGUGGGGAUGACGUCAAGUCCUCAUGGCCUUUAUGCCCAGGGCUACACACGUACUACAAUGGCCGGUACAAAGGGUCGCCAAGCCGCGAGGUGGAGCUAAUCCCAAAACGCCGGUCUCAGUUCGGAUUGGUCUCUGCAACUCGAGACCAUGAAGGUGGAAUCGCUAGUAAUCGCUGAUCAGCAUGCAGCGGUGAUACGUUCCCGGGCCUUGUACACACCGCCCGUCACACCACGAAAGCUGUUUAUACCAGAAGUGCGUGACCCAACCUUCGGGAGGG